GGUGAUUUAGCUCAGUUGAUAGAGUACUUGCCUGGCAUGCAAGACCAUUAGUUCAAUCCCCA
rnacentral:tRNA from 1 species